GCUGAUUAGGUCUGUGGUUGAAAGUCGAUGCCAGCCGCAGGCGAAACGAUCCACGUAAGUCAGAUAAGGUCUGAUGAGCAUGGUGCGGUUUAGAAGUAAGUCCUGCCGGGAAAACCGAGAGAAGGAUUAGUGAGAGGCAUACCACCUUGAGCAAAACUUCCAGCAGGCGAGUGUGGGGUCAAAGACCAGGUCAGCUAAUCAGU
rnacentral:ncRNA from 1 species